rnacentral:rRNA from 1 species
CUGCCCGUAGCAGGGGGAUAAGCGGAAGAAAUUCCGUCUAAUACCGCGUAACAACCCGAGGAGGCAUCUCCUCGGGUUUAAAGGAAGCGAUUCCGGCUACGGAUGGUCAUGCGUCGCAUUAGCUAGUUGGCGGGGUAACGGCCCACCAAGGCGAGGAUGCGUAGGGGUUCUGAGAGGAAGGUCCCCCACACUGGUACUGAGACACGGACCAGACUCCUACGGGAGGCAGCAGUGAGGAAUAUUGGUCAAUGGCCGCAGGGCUGAACCAGCCAAGUCGCGUGAGGGAUGACAGUCCUAUGGAUUGUAAACCUCUUUUGUCAGGGAGCAAAGGGCGCCACGUGUGGUGUUUUGCGAGUACCUGAAGAAAAAGCAUCGGCUAACUCCGUGCCAGCAGCCGCGGUAAUGCGGAGGAUGCGAGCGUUAUCCGGAUUUAUUGGGUUUAAAGGGUGCGCAGGCGGAAUGUCAAGUCAGCGGUAAAAUUUCGGGGCUCAACCCCGUCGUGCCGUUGAAACUGGCGUUCUUGAGUGAGCGAGAAGUAUGCGGAAUGCGUGGUGUAGCGGUGAAAUGCAUAGAUAUCACGCAGAACUCCGAUUGCGAAGGCAGCAUACCGGCGCUCAACUGACGCUCAUGCACGAAAGCGUGGGUAUCGAACAGGAUUAGAUACCCUGGUAGUCCACGCAGUAAACGAUGA